GAAACUUUUGGAGUUUCAAGGACGGCUGGUCACAUAACAGGCUUGACUAUGCCCUGCUUUUUUAAAUUCUGAUGUCUGUCUGCACUCUCUACAUUUUUUAUUAUAAGCAAAAGAGAAAACGAAGUUUAAUUGUCUUUCAGCUGGGUGGGCCGACUUUUGCAUUACUUGCUGAAGUUUACGAUAGAGUUGCUAGUGUAACCGUUAAACUCCUUCUAUUUCUAUGAUUUGUAAUUGGUUUUGCAACCAUAUUAUUAGUAAGCUAUCUGGAAAUGUUGGCUUUUUGGGAGCAUGCUUGAGUGUCUGCAUCUGCAUUAAAAAGUUGGUCUUGAUGAAAUUUGUUGAAACUGCUCAACUGGCAGGAGCGACCUUUAUUGCAUGUGUCUCACACAAACCUUCUGUUGAAUAAACUGCAAGAGUUGUCGAUGACAAGGUUGUGCCCAGACUUUGUUGAAGCUGACUUGCCACCCCAUGCCUUGAGCUCCGUUAGACUAGCUCUUGCCACAAAUCUUGGUCGUGCCAUCCGAGAGGAAUCAUGAUGCUCUGCUUGACAUUGUUUGAGGUCAUCAUUGUUGAAUAACCAUGCCAGAGUUUCCCUGCUAUCCCUAAUUACAAAGCAUGGGCAACCACAAUCAUCCUGGUGAAACUGGUGUGUGGCAAAUUCUCUGACUCGGACAUCUUUGUAUUGAAUCUUCACAAAGCUGAUGGUUCCCCUGACAAACUGUUGUUUAUGCUAUUAUAGAACAGCAACAACUCGAAGAAGUUGCUAAGGUUGAGCUUGAGAUGUUGUUGUCUAGGUGGCAGAAACCAAGAGAUGCCUGUUCGAGUAUUUAGAGAAAUGUUAUCUAUACAGACCACAGCAACAACACCCCCCACCAC